CCGAGUGCGGGCCCUCGCGGCCCAACCUCCCACCCGUGUUUAACGAACCUUGUUGCUUCGGCGGGCCCGCCGUAUGGCCGCCGGGGGGCACCUGCCCCCGGGCCCGCGCCCGCCGAAGACACCUGUGAACGCUGUCUGAAGUUGCAGUCUGAGACAACUAGCUAAAUUAGUUA
rnacentral:misc_RNA from 1 species